CGAAAGCCUGACGGAGCAAUACCGCGUGAGGGAAGAAGGCUCUUGGGUUGUAAACCUCUUUUCUCAGGGAAGAAAAAAAUGACGGUACCUGAGGAAUAAGCAUCGGCUAACUCCGUGCCAGCAGCCGCGGUAAUACGGAGGAUGCAAGCGUUAUCCGGAAUGAUUGGGCGUAAAGGGUCCGCAGGUGGCUAUGUAAGUCUGCUGUUAAAGAACUUAGCUUAACUAGGUAAAAGCAGUGGAAACUACAAGGCUAGAGUGCGUUCGGGGUAGAGGGAAUUCCUGGUGUAGCGGUGAAAUGCGUAGAUAUCAGGAAGAACACCAGUGGCGAAGGCGCUCUACUAGGCCGCAACUGACACUGAGGGACGAAAGCUAGGGGAGCG
rnacentral:rRNA from 1 species